GACAGAGGUGCCGAGCGUUAGGCGGAAUCACUGGGCUUAAAGCGUGUGUAGGCGGGUCGUUAAGUGUCUUGUGAAAUCCCCCGGCUCAACCGGGGAACGGCUGGGUAUACUGGCGGUCUUGAGCCAUUCAGGGGCAGUCGGAACAGACGGUGGAGCGGUGAAAUGCGUAGAUAUCGUCUGGAACGCCGAAGGUGAAAACAGACUGCUGGGGAUGAGCUGACGCUGAGACACGAAAGCCAGGGGAGCGAACGGG
rnacentral:rRNA from 1 species